GCUAGGAGUGGAGGACACCCCAGAGAUAGUUCCUUCUGGGAGGAAAGGAGCAAAUUGUUUCUCUAGUGGACUCAAAUUCUUCCUCAAUCCAGGUCAAAAGCCUUCUGAGAGAGACAAAAGAGGAGAGAAAUGAAUCCGGGGAACUGACUAAAGAACACCUGCCGGUCCAACCCCAGAAUAACAGGACUCAGAACCCAGGAAUCCUCCCUCCCUAGCCAACACCGAGGGCAUUGGAGUGUGCUAGCGCUCCUGACAGACAGCCACUCUUGGGCAGGUGCCAAAGGAAAAAACCCAAGCUCAGAGCCUUCAUCAGAGGCAAGAUUCAUUUUGUCCUCCAUGGCCUCCAAGUUCCAGAUGUUCCUGCUGUUCUGUGCUUCACAGAACAGCUGGGUGUAACCCCUUACUUCCUCAGACUCUUUGGGAAAGGACUACAGACCUUGUACAGGGUGGGUGUGAAUCAGUGAGCUACCAAGCCAUCUAUGAUUAGGAGAUGAAACUCAACCUUUUACACUGCAGGGAAGACCAGCUUGCUUGGGCUUUCAGUAUCGGGACAGGACCCAGUAGUGCUAGGCAGAAGCCUCUUGGGGGUAUGAAAUCCUCAAUUCAAUUCAACAAGCAUUUAUUGGGCCCCUACUAUGUGCCAGGCACUAUGCUAGGCUUUGGA